ACGUUACCCGCAGAAGAAGCACCGGCUAACUCCGUGCCAGCAGCCGCGGUAAUACGGAGGGUGCAAGCGUUAAUCGGAAUUACUGGGCGUAAAGCGCACGCAGGCGGUCUGUCAAGUCGGAUGUGAAAUCCCCGGGCUCAACCUGGGAACUGCAUUCGAAACUGGCAGGCUUGAGUCUUGUAGAGGGGGGUAGAAUUCCAGGUGUAGCGGUGAAAUGCGUAGAGAUCUGGAGGAAUACCGGUGGCGAAGGCGGCCCCCUGGACAAAGACUGACGCUCAGGUGCGAAAGCGUGGGG
rnacentral:rRNA from 2 species